GACGAACGCUGGCGGCGUGCUUAACACAUGCAAGUCGAACGGAAAGGCCCUGCUUUUGUGGGGUGCUCGAGUGGCGAACGGGUGAGUAACACGUGAGUAACCUGCCCUUGACUUUGGGAUAACUUCAGGAAACUGGGGCUAAUACCGGAUAGGAGCUCCUGCUGCAUGGUGGGGGUUGGAAAGUUUCGGCGGUUGGGGAUGGACUCGCGGCUUAUCAGCUUGUUGGUGGGGUAGUGGCUUACCAAGGCUUUGACGGGUAGCCGGCCUGAGAGGGUGACCGGCCACAUUGGGACUGAGAUACGGCCCAGACUCCUACGGGAGGCAGCAGUGGGGAAUAUUGCACAAUGGGCGGAAGCCUGAUGCAGCAACGCCGCGUGCGGGAUGACGGCCUUCGGGUUGUAAACCGCUUUCGCCUGUGACGAAGCGUGAGUGACGGUAAUGGGUAAAGAAGCACCGGCUAACUACGUGCCAGCAGCCGCGGUGAUACGUAGGGUGCGAGCGUUGUCCGGAUUUAUUGGGCGUAAAGGGCUCGUAGGUGGUUGAUCGCGUCGGAAGUGUAAUCUUGGGGCUUAACCCUGAGCGUGCUUUCGAUACGGGUUGACUUGAGGAAGGUAGGGGAGAAUGGAAUUCCUGGUGGAGCGGUGGAAUGCGCAGAUAUCAGGAGGAACACCAGUGGCGAAGGCGGUUCUCUGGGCCUUUCCUGACGCUGAGGAGCGAAAGCGUGGGGAGCGAACAGGCUUAGAUACCCUGGUAGUCCACGCUGUAAACGGUGGGUACUAGGUGUGGGGUCCAUUCCACGGGUUCCGUGCCGUAGCUAACGCUUUAAGUACCCCGCCUGGGGAGUACGGCCGCAAGGCUAAAACUCAAAGGAAUUGACGGGGCCCCGCACAAGCGGCGGAGCAUGCGGAUUAAUUCGAUGCAACGCGUAGAACCUUACCUGGGUUUGACAUGGAUCGGGAGCGCUCAGAGAUGGGUGUGCCUCUUUUGGGGUCGGUUCACAGGUGGUGCAUGGCUGUCGUCAGCUCGUGUCGUGAGAUGUUGGGUUAAGUCCCGCAACGAGCGCAACCCUUGUUCACUGUUGCCAGCACGUUAUGGUGGGGACUCAGUGGAGACCGCCGGGGUCAACUCGGGGGAAGGUGGGGAUGACGUCAGGUCAUCAUGCCCCUUAUGUCCAGGGCUUCACGCAUGCUACAAUGGCUGGUACAGAGAGUGGCGAGCCUGUGAGGGUGAGCGAAUCUCGGAAAGCCGGUCUCAGUUCGGAUUGGGGUCUGCAACUCGACCUCAUGAAGUCGGAGUCGCUAGUAAUCGCAGAUCAGCAACGCUGCGGUGAAUACGUUCCCGGG
rnacentral:rRNA from 1 species